AACGAACGCUGGCGGCAGGCCUAACACAUGCAAGUCGAGCGAGGACUUCGGUUCUAGCGGCGGACGGGUGAGUAACGCGUGGGAAUGUGCCCUUCUCUACGGAAUAGCCCUGGGAAACUGGGAGUAAUACCGUAUACGCCCUUUUGGGGAAAGAUUUAUCGGAGAAGGGUCAGCCCGCGUUGGAUUAGGUAGUUGGUGGGGUAAUGGCCUACCAAGCCGACGAUCCAUAGCUGGUUUGAGAGGAUGAUCAGCCACACUGGGACUGAGACACGGCCCAGACGCCGACGGGCGGCAGCGGUGGCGAAUCUGAGACAAUGGGGGCAACCCUGAUCAAGCCAGGCCGUGUGAGCAAUGAAGGAUUUAGGGUUGUAAAGCUCUGACAGAUGAGAAGAAAAUGCCGGAACCAGAAGACGAAGCCCCGGCAAACUCCGUGCCAGCAGCCGCUGUAAUAGACGAAGACAACACGUCUAAAC
rnacentral:rRNA from 1 species